rnacentral:lncRNA from 10 species
GAAUUCUAGAGAAUCCUGAAGAAGACUGUGCUUCCACCAGUUUGCACAGCAUAGAUAAUAUGCUUGGUUGCAUAAUUCAUAUGAGAAUUAGGUUUUUAAGAUGUUAAUAACUAAGUAAGUUUUAGGAGUCUCAUUGUGAUCAUGGUAUCACGGUAUUAGUAGAUGCUGGUGUUAUUUUGUUUGAUUUUGGGAAAUGUAUUAAUAUAUGUGUCAAACAAGGAACUGAAAACUAUUACACUUUGUAUUUUUGCUUUUGUCAUCAUAAUCAUGUUGAAUUUAUGUAAUCAUUGAUUUUAUUUCAUGUGGAAUAGCUAAUUGCUUCUUAAAAUUAUGUUAUUUAAUGUUUUCAUUAGCUACACUCUACAAUCCACAUAACACCUUUUAUUUUAAAAUUACGUAAAUAUAUGCAGAAAGUAGAAUUUUUUAUUAAAAUACUUUUAUGCUUGAAAUAUGAGAACCAAGUACAGUUUUCUAUUCAAAAUUUUCUUAUUUUAAUACUGUUUGGCUAACAAAGAUAGAUAAAGUUUCAUUCAAACACUUUUCUCCUUAAAAUUUCAAGAUAACGUACAUUAACUUUUCUAUGUCUAACCCUAGCUUAUCCUUCCCUGUUAUAAAGUUGAUUGCUUAAACUUACUGAGAAAAUAUUCCCAUCAUUAACAAAAAUAAAUUAUUGAAAUAAAAAAGGAUAGAGGUUCAACAUAUUUAGUCAUUAUGGAAGUGCAAAUCAAAGUCAUAUGCCACUUCACACCAACCACAUUUGUCAAAAUAAAAAAAAAAAAACAGGAAAUAGGAAUUGUUGAUAAGAAUGUGGAGGUAUUGGAACCCCUGUACAUUGCUGGUGAGAAUGUAAAAUGGUGGUGCUACCACAGAAAACACAUUGGCUCUUUGUUAAAAUGUAAACAUAAAAUUUCCUUACAAGUCAGUAUGAGUACUUCUUAAUUGUAUACCUGAGAUAACUGAAAACAUAUGUUUUUUAAAAUAACUUUUGUCCAGAUGUUCAUAGCAUCAUUUUUUACUGUAGUUGAAAAAUGGAAACAAACUAAAUGUCCAUCACCUACUAAAUAAAAUGUGGCAUAGCCAUACAAUGGAAUAUUGUAAAUCUGUGAAAAUGAAUGAACAAAUUACAUAAGGGAUUAACCUCAAAAACAUUAUACUAAGUGAAAGAAGCCAGAUACAAAAGGCCAAUAUUGUAUGAUUCUAUUUUUGUGAAGUGCCCAGAAUAGGCAAUUUUAUAUGGAAAGAAAGCAGAGUAGUGGUUUCCAGGGGCUGAGUGAGGGAAAAUGGGGAAUAACCACUUAAUGUGUACAAAGUUUCUUUUUAGGAUGAUGAAAAUGUUCUAGAAUCAGUGGUAAUGGUAAUAAAACAUUGGGAAUAUACUAAAAGCCACUGAAUUGUACCCUUUAAGAUGGUUAAAAUGGUUAAUUUUAUGUUAUGUAAACAUUAUUUCUCUAAUAAAGUAGAUUUUCAGCAACAAAGGGCCCAUUAGAAUGGAAGCAUACUCUGAAGGGUUAUUAGUUAUCAACUCCUAACAUGCAAAAUAUUUUUAGGUAGCAUUUUUAUAUAGAAGAAAUUAUAUUAAGGCAUAUUAAGCAUUGAGUGUCAUUAUUAUUGAUGUAUAAUGGAUUCCCAUCCAACAUUAUGGUGUGAUUUUAAAAGAAGAGCCAGGAAAUCAAAAGUAUUUUCUCUGGGGCUUAAUCUUUGAUCAGAUCAUUGAAAAACUUAUGGCUUCCAGAUUUGUGGGGGACAGAUACUUUUACUCAUUAUCCAAUGCUCUAAGGCCACCCAGAGAGACUGGAUUAUCUACAUUGACUAUUCACAUUUCCUUAGAUAUAUUUAUUUGAAUGAUGGCUUCUACAAAGUAGAGAAGUCUGUCAUUAUGAGAGAUAAAGCCAGCUGGGCUUCUGGGUUGGGUGGGGUCUUGGAGAACUUUUCUGUCUAGCUAAAGGAUUGUAAGUGCACCCAUCAGCACUCUGUAAAAACACACCAAUCAGCACUCUGUGUCUAGCUAAAGG